GCCAGGCAGGGUGGCGUGUGCCUGUAAUCCCAGUGGCUCGGGAGGCUGAGGCAGGAGGAUUGCAAGUUCAAAGCCAGCCUCAGCAAAAGUAAGGUGUUAAGCAACUCAGUGAGACCUUGUCUCUA
rnacentral:sRNA from 1 species